rnacentral:rRNA from 1 species
UACAGAGGUCCCAAGCGUUGUUCGGAUUCACUGGGCGUAAAGGGUGCGUAGGUGGUUGGGUAAGUCUGAUGUGAAAUCUCCGGGCUCAACCCGGAAAUGGCAUUGGAUACUAUUCGGCUAGAGGUUUGGAGGGGGGACUGGAAUUCUCGGUGUAGCAGUGAAAUGCGUAGAGAUCGUAAGGAAGACCAGUGGCGAAGGCGGGUCUCUGGACAGUUCCUGACACUGAGGCACGAAGGCCAGGGGAGCAAACGGG